UCCGUUCUCAACAAACCAUAAACCCUAAUGCAAUUGUCUUAAUAAAAGUUUUCAUAUUAGUUCGACAUACAGUUCCUGAUAUAAAAAAAAAGUUAAAUCUAAGGACUGUCUGGAAGUUCAGCAAUGGGGAAGACUAGGUCGCGUUCCAUAUCAGAUGGAGAUCUAAAGACUCGUGCAGAUCGCAAGUUCGACAAAAAAGUCCAAUUUUAUGAAACUAUCAGAAAUGCUGUUGCUCAAAAAUCUAUUACUAAGGUAUGAAUCUUUUACUUGUUAUCACUUAUCCGUACAAACGAUGUAAUGCCCUCAUUUUUAAAUAUGAGUUCUUGUGGUUGGCUCAGAAAAUUUUAUGCCUCUUUAGAUAAUAAGUUUUGAAUCAGAUCUUGAAUAUGAGGAAAAUAUGAGAAAUUGAUAGCUUGGUGCCCACGAUGAUUUAGUCAUUAUUUGAGAAUACAUAUAUUACAAUUGAGGUUUACUUCGGAUGCGGUGC